CAGAGACAUGCUGGAUAAGCAGAGGCAAUAACACAUUCUCUCUCUACUCUGAUUUCCAUGUCUCCAGGUUGUCUAGAAGACUGAAGGGAGGGAGGGACGGGGACACAUACGCCAGUCUGCAGCUCCCCAACAUCAGCCCUGACUAUGACGUGCUGCAGGU